rnacentral:misc_RNA from 1 species
AACGCACAUUGCGCCCUUCGGUUAUUCCUUAGGGCAUGCCUGUUCGAGCGUCAUUUCAACCUUCAAGCCUGGCUUGGUGUUGGGCGCUGUCCCGCCCCCGCGCGAGGACUCGCCCCAAAUGAAUUGGCAGCCGCACCCCGACAGCCGCGAGCGCAGCAAAGACGCGCGAGCGGACCGUAGGGGAUGGGCGCUCCACAAGACACAACCACAAGUCUUGACCUCGGAUCAGGUAGGGAUACCCGCUGAACUUAA